CAGUGUUCGGGCCAACGACGUGCCUCCCCAGGAGCAAAGCAAGCCUGCUGAGGACGGAGCCCGCAGGCACCCACCUCCAGACCCCCACAGGCUCCAGGCCCUGCAACAGCCAGCCCGCGGCUGCCUCGGCCCUCGCCUCUCCAGCCAAGGCCGCCCCAGGGCCGCCACGCCAGCCCGUCCCUAGCCCUCCUGUCUCUCUCCGAGGGGCCGCUUCUUGCUCUUCUCAGGGCCCACGACGCGUACGGCGGCGCGGCGCUGGCCGCCCCCGGCCCCUCCACAGCUUUCUCCUCAACCCCUGCCCUUCCCUAAGGGCUCCCCGGCGCUCCUCCCUCCAUCUUCCCUCCCUAGGGCUGACCUCGCGCAAGCAACCGCCUCCCCUUCGAGAAGAGCGGGCGGGCCGCGGCGCCUGAGAAGAAGAGGCCGCCUUUACCGUGGGCUCGCCGCCCCGCUAUCGGAGUCACACCUGCCCCUUCGGACGGAAGCGCCUCGACGCUCCGGGGUCGUAGGGAGCGCUGGGAAACUGCCACCAUACAGCAGCGACCAGGCUGGUUCCGUCCCGAGCAGCAGCUGCCCACAACAGCGCCAGAGAACCUCUAUUUAUCUCUUCUAAUGUAGGGUGGUGUCCUCUAAUCUGUAACGGAACGGGAGCACAAGUGUGAUGAGGAACAGCUGAGGGAAUGGGGGUGUCUAGUCUGGAGAAGAGAAGGCUCAGGUGGCGAAAUUGGAUUGGAGAUCCCAUCUUUUGAGGAUUGGCAACAUGAAAGAGACAGAGAGCCCUAUUAGCAGUGUUAAGCUGCACAAUCUGCUUUGAUUCUAUUACUUGCUAGAAAAAAACAUUGAAAAAUUAUUCUGAUCAUUCCCCAUUACAUAAAAGUUUUGUAUUCUCUCACUUGAAAAAAAAUAAAAAUAAAAAUAAAAAUAAAAAUAAAAAUAAAAAAAUCCUU